AACGAACGCUAGCGGCGCGUUUUAAGCAUGCAAGUCGAACGGGGAUAUUAGGAGCAAUUCUGGUAUCCUAGUGGCAAACGGGUGAGUAACACGUGGAUAAUCUGCCCUCAAGACCUGGAUAGCCCGCAGAAAUGCGGAUUAAUACGGGAUGUGGUGCCUGAUCAUGAGGAUCGGGACAUUAAAGGUGGGGACCGCAAGGCCUGCCGCUUGGGGAGGAGUCCGCGGCCCAUUAGCUAGUUGGUGGGGUAAAGGCCUACCAAGGCGACGAUGGGUAGCCGGCCUGAGAGGGUGACCGGCCACAUUGGGACUGAGACACGGCCCAGACUCCUACGGGAGGCAGCAGCUAAGAAUCUUCCGCAAUGGGCGAAAGCCUGACGGAGCGACGCCGCGUGGACGAUGAAGGUCUUCGGAUUGUAAAGUCAUUUCGGGGAGGAAGAAUAAGCCGGCUCUAACAGAGACGGUGAUGACGACCCUCCCAGAAGAAGCUCCGGCUAACUACGUG
rnacentral:rRNA from 1 species